rnacentral:lncRNA from 1 species
CCCCAGGUUCGGUUGGGAUUCCCAGCCAGAACGGAGCUUAAGCCGGGCAGGCGAGCGAAUGACGGAGUAGCGAGCUGCACGGCGGCGUGCUGCGCUGUUGAGGACGCUGUCCCGCGCGCUCCCAGGCCGCCCCGAGGCUUGGGGUCUUCGAAGGAUAAUCGGCGCCCGGGGCCGAACAGCGGGGGCACACGGGGCGCUGCCGAAGUGCAAGGCCACGGCCAGAGCUCGAGCCCGACGCGCUGUCUGGAGUCGUAGGACCCUGACGUGGCUGAAGCGGCCCCGGGAGCAUGAGCGGGCAGCGCGUGGACGUCAAGGUGGUGAUGCUGGGCAAGGAGUACGUGGGCAAGACUAGCCUGGUGGAGCGCUACGUGCACGACCGCUUUCUGGUGGGGCCUUAUCAGAACGUGAGUGCAUCCGGAGGGGCCAGGCACGGUGGGCGGGGGAGUGGGGGGCCGGUAAUCUGCACCUAUGGCCCCGAUCUCUUCCCUCUCGUUGCAGACCAUCGGGGCCGCCUUCGUG